AGACAUUUCCUCUGUCUCUACAUAUCGUUUUGGAGUUGUUAAAGUUCCUCUGUUGUGUUAGUUGUAUGUAUUCAUGCCUGUAUUAACCAGAUGAAGGUGCAAUUCUGUGUUAAUAUAAGAGAAGUGUGGCCUUCCUUCUCAUAGGACUAAAAGUGAGAUAAUCCCUGUGUAAGAAAUCAUUGAUGCACUGACAUUGUGCUACAUCCAGAUGCAGUAGGGACUUUACCCAGAAAGGAUAUACUUCAAUAUGAGCAGGCUUAUCUCAGCGUGCUACUUCUCCAGCUCCUCAGGAAUACAAAGCUA